rnacentral:misc_RNA from 1 species
AUGAACUUGAUCUAACUAAGUCUUUAUUGCGGCACUUUGUUUUCUGUAUUUUGCUCUAACUAUUGAUUUAUGGGUAUUUGGUUACUGGUUGAUUGUUUUUCUCAGUCCUAUGUUAUUAACACUGCUACUUUAUGUUAUAUUCUGUAAAUUCUAUUUCCUACUUUGAAGGCACCCAAAGGUAAUAAUAUAAUUAGUUUAUUAAGAUACGAUGAAUGAAAUGCCUGUGUGUAGGCUCAGCUAGGAUUGUUUUGUG